AUGCAAGAACCUGUAACUUACACUCUUACUGAUUCAUCAGUUCACACCACAACACCAGAAAAUAGACAUGACGAGCAGACCAACCAGAGCAGGCAGCACAAGGGAGCUGUGAGAAGGAGAAGAGCGACCACAGAACCGCGAGCUAGAAAGAGCUGGACCAAAGAGGGCCAGGAGCCACCUGUUGGUUCUUUAGAGCAUCGGGGAGGAGACAGGUGGCACCAUCUAGCUUGUCCAUGGCAGGACCAGAAAGAGGGCCUGUCACAUGCCAACCCAGCUGGCUGGUAGCUGACCAGAAGGGCAGGUGGUGGGGCUGCCCCCAGGCCUUGUCCAGGAUGGGGUGCCCGUGCUGGGGGCCAGGGGGGCACAGACCCCGUCCUUCCUGACAGGCUGAGGACCAGUGUUUGGUGAGGGGGCGGCCCUGGGGCUGGGCUGUGUGGAGCCUUUCUGCUAAGGCAGAGAGAAGCAGCCCUCCCUGUCUCAUGUGGUCGGGAGGGGUCAGCACCCACCUCUGGGUGGCCAUCCGGGAGCCCUGCCCCUUGCCAUCACCUCCCCCACAGCAUGGUGCAGGCUCUGGGCUUGGGCUCUACAGGGGGAGUCCCUCCUGAGGGCACCAGGAAGGAGAGGGCAGGGCUGGGGCUCCCACUGGUCGGAAGCUCUGUCCACACCCACAGGGCCCCCACCUUUGCAGACCCUGCCCAGGGCUCUGGCCUGAGGUGGAUCCCAGUUAGGUUGGGGUCAGGUUGAGCCUAAGACCAUUGAAGGGGCUGCCCAGUGGGGUCACGCCGAGGUAGCCAGGAGGCUAGUCAGGCCCCGGGGACUGCAGGCCCCGGCACAGGGUCUGGCUAGGAGCUGUGGCUCUGGGCUUGCUCUGGAGAGCUGCCCGGUCACAGGCACUGCUGCGCCACACAGGAGCCUGGCGCCCUCGAGAGUGCAGACAGCUUUGCACCCUGAACUGGGGCCUGCACACGCCCACCCACCACCUCUGCUGUCCCUUUACUGGUCACCACUUUUAGAAACCCUCUCUGACCCGCCAGAUGGCACUCACUCGGUGGCCUAAUUUCUGGGGUAGGGGCACACUUCUCCCUGCCUCCAUGCUGGACACAGAGCCUCCCUUGCCCAAGGUGGCUGUCGCUGUCCCCUGGACUCUGUAGCUGGCUUAUUGUGGGGUGAGCAGGAGGCACUUCCCUGUUCCUGUCCUCCGAGUCCACAUGGGGAAUGGGUCUGCAUCAUGAGUGCCCCUGCCCUCGGCUCUGCCUGACUCCCAUGUCCAGACUAUACCUUGUCC
rnacentral:lncRNA from 1 species